rnacentral:rRNA from 1 species
UACAGAGGGGGCAAGCGUUGUCCGGAAUCAUUGGGCGUAAAGAGCGUGUAGGCGGUCCGGUAAGUCCGUUGUGAAAGUCAGGGGCUCAACCCUUGAAUGCCGGCGGAUACUGUCGGGCUAGAGUCCGGAAGAGGCAAGUGGAAUUCCCGGUGUAGCGGUGAAAUGCGCAGAUAUCGGGGAGGAACACCUAUGGCGAAGGCAGCUUGCUGGGACGGCACUGACGCUGGAGACGCGAAAGCGUGGGGAGCAAACAGG